AAUAAGUGUAGUUUUGCACUGUUCAUGUCUAACGUUUGAUGGUCCAUCUUAUCUGAAAAAAAAUAUGAUUAGUAUUUUUGUUGUUAUUAGAUGAUAAAAUAUGAAUAGUACUUUAUGUGAUUAAUUUUUUUUAGUUUUUUCAUAAAUUUUUUAAAUAAGAAGGACAGUCAAACGUUGAACACGGAAACCAACGGCUACACUUAUU
rfam:Oryza punctata chromosome 3, whole genome shotgun sequence.